ACCAACUCAACGGGGUGCCCUAUCAACAGCGGGGCUGAGACCAUACCCGCGGAACCUGAUCCGGAUUAUGCUGGCGAAGGGAUUGAGCUCCCACCACUA
rnacentral:ncRNA from 1 species